CGUGUGCUCUCCACGCUAAGUGGCAUACGCCUAUUUUUGGAGGGAUCUGCCUUCGGGUAGACU
rnacentral:misc_RNA from 1 species